rnacentral:piRNA from 1 species
GAUGAGGAUGAGUGCUUGUAACUGACU